ACGAACGCUGGCGGCGUGCCUAAUACAUGCAAGUAGAACGCUGAAGAGAGGAGCUUGCUCUUCUUGGAUGAGUUGCGAACGGGUGAGUAACGCGUAGGUAACCUGCCUUGUAGCGGGGGAUAACUAUUGGAAACGAUAGCCAAUACCGCAUAACAAUGGAUGACACAUGUCAUUUAUUUGAAAGGGGCAAUUGCUCCACUACAAGAUGGACCUGCGUUGUAUUAGCUAGUAGGUGAGGUAAUGGCUCACCUAGGCGACGAUACAUAGCCGACCUGAGAGGGUGAUCGGCCACACUGGGACUGAGACACGGCCCAGACUCCUACGGGAGGCAGCAGUAGGGAAUCUUCGGCAAUAGGGGCAACCCUGACCGAGCAACGCCGCGUGAGUGAAGAAGGUUUUCGGAUCGUAAAGCUCUGUUGUAAGUCAAGAACGGGUGUGAGAGUGGAAAGUUCACACUGUGACGGUAGCUUACCAGAAAGGGACGGCUAACUACGUG
rnacentral:rRNA from 1 species